rnacentral:lncRNA from 1 species
AUGGGGUCAGGAUUUAUGGGGUCAGGCUCUGUGGGGCAGGGCUGUAUGGGGUCAGGAUCUAUGGGGCUGAUCUAUGGGGUCAGGCUCUAUAGGGUAGGGUUUCUAUGGGGCAGGGAUCUGUGGGGUCAGUUCUAUGGAGUUGGGAUCUGUGAGGUCAGGAUUUAUAGGGUCGGGUUCUAUGGGGUUGGGAUUUAUGGGAUCAGCAUCUGUAGGGCAGGUUUCUAUAGGAUCAGACUCUAUAGGGUAGGGCUGUAUGGGGUUGUGAGGCUGUUGUAUGGGGUCAGGACCUAUAGAGCAGAUCUAUGGGGUCGGACUGUAUGGGGUGAUGUUCUAUGGGGUCAGGCUGUAUGGGAUGAUGCUCUAUGGGGUCAGGCAGUCUGGGCUGAUGCUGUAUGGGGUCUCAGGGCUCCUCUAUGGGGUCAGGCAAUCCGGGAUGAUGCUCUAUGGGGUCAGGCAGUCUGGGAUGAUGCUGUAUGGGGUCAGGCAGUCCGGGCUGAUGCUCUAUGGGGUCUCAGGGUUCCUCUAUGGGGUCAGGCAGUCUGGGAUGAUGCUGUAUGGGGUCAAGCAGUCCGGGAUGACGCUCUAUGGGGUCAGGCAGUCUGGGCUGAUGCUGUAUGGGGUCUCAGGGCUCCUCUAUGGGUUCAGGCAGUCCAGGCUGAUGCUCUAUGGGGUCACAGGGCUCCUCUAUGGGGUCAGGCAGUCCGGGCUGAUGCUCUAUGGGAUCCAGCUGUACGGGAUGAUGCUCUAUGGGAUCACAAUGCUCCUCUAUGGGGUCAGGCAGUCUGGGAUGAUGCUCUAUGGGGUCACAAGGCUCCUCUAUGGGGUCAGGCAGUCCGGGCUGAUGCUCUAUGGGAUCAGGCUGUAGGGGCUGAUGCUGUAUGGGGUUACAAGGCUCCUCUAUGGGGUCAGGCUGUAUGGGAUGACGCUCUAUGGAGUCAUAGGGCUCCUCUCUGGGGUGUGGCUGUCAGGGAUGAUGCUCUAUGGGGUCAGGCUGUAUGGGAUGAUGCUCUAUGGGGUCAUGAGACUCCUUUAUGGGAUCAGGCUGUCCAGGAUGAUGCUCUAUGGGGUCAGGCUGUAUGGGAUGAUGCUCUAUGGGGUCAUGAGACUCCUUUAUGGGAUCAGGCUGUCCAGGAUGAUGCUCUAUGGGGUCAGGCAGUCCGGGAUGAUGCUCUAUGGGAUCCAGCUGUACGGGAUGAUGCUCUAUGGGGUCUCAGGGUUCCUCUAUGGGGUCAGGCAGUACAGGAUGAUGCUCUAUGGGGUUACAAGGCUUCUCUAUGGGGUCAGGCAGUCCGCGAUGAUGCUGUAUGGGGUCAGGCAGUCCGGGCUGAUGCUCUAUGGGAUCCAGCUGUACGGGAUGAUGCUCUAUGGGGUCUCAGGGCUGCUCUAUGGGGUCAGGCAGUCCGGGAUGAUGCUCUAUGGGGUCAGGCAGUCCGGGCUGAUGCUCUAUGGGGUCGGGGAGCCCCGUAG